CAAUUUAUACAGUGAAACUGCGAAUGGCUCAUUAAAUCAGUUAUCGUUUAUUUGAUAGUACCUUUACUACUUGGAUAACCGUGGUAAUUCUAGAGCUAAUACAUGCUAAAAACCCCGACUUCGGAAGGGGUGUAUUUAUUAGAUAAAAAACCAAUGCCCUUCGGGGCUCCUUGGUGAUUCAUAAUAACUUAACGAAUCGCAUGGCCUUGCGCCGGCGAUGGUUCAUUCAAAUUUCUGCCCUAUCAACUUUCGAUGGUAGGAUAGUGGCCUACCAUGGUUUCAACGGGUAACGGGGAAUAAGGGUUCGAUUCCGGAGAGGGAGCCUGAGAAACGGCUACCACAUCCAAGGAAGGCAGCAGGCGCGCAAAUUACCCAAUCCCGACACGGGGAGGUAGUGACAAUAAAUAACGAUACAGGGCCCUUUCGGGUCUUGUAAUUGGAAUGAGUACAAUGUAAAUACCUUAACGAGGAACAAUUGGAGGGCAAGUCUGGUGCCAGCAGCCGCGG
rnacentral:rRNA from 1 species